GAAACCCAAAAAUCAGCGACUGGAUUUUCCUGGCCCGAAACAGCAAGGUCUCUCUCGCGCUCGCCUCUCUCCUCCUCGUCUUCGGCGGCGGCGAUGCUGUCCGGCGACGUUCCCCCGAACCAGACCGUCUACUUCAGGAACCUCAACGAGAAGGUCAAGAAAGAAGAGUUGAAGAGAUCACUUUAUGCAUUGUGCUCUCAGUAUGGAAGGAUAGUGGAUGUCGUGGCCUUAAAAACUCAUAAACUGAGGGGGCAAGCCUGGGUGGCAUUCAGUGAAAUUACAGCGGCUACCAACGCUUUCCGGGGCCUACAGGACUUCGAUUUUUACGGCAAAAAAAUGCGGGUACAAUAUGCAAAAACAAAGUCUGACUGUUUUGCAAAAGCAGAUGGGUCUUAUGCUCCUAAAGAGAAAAGGAAGAAGCAAGAGGAGAAAGCUGCUGAGAAAAAACGGCGAACUGAAGAUGGACAACAACCUGGCGCUAAUGCUCCUGUUGCCCCAAGCAAUGGAACUGGUCAUCAACCUUCUCGUUUUGCCAAGCCUCCGCAAGAGCCAGCUGCUCCGCCGAACAACAUCCUCUUCCUCCAGAACAUGCCGGAUCAGACCACGAGCAUGAUGCUCCAGAUCCUGUUCCAGCAAUACCCUGGUUUCCGGGAGGUGCGGAUGAUUGAAGCCAAGCCAGGCAUUGCUUUUGUGGAGUACGAGGAUGAGAACCAGUCCAUGGUUGCAAUGGAAGCCCUCCAGGGUUUCAAGAUCAGCCCAGAGAACCCAAUGGCCAUCUCAUACGCCAAAAAGUGAAACGAUCCAUGUGAUCUCCAAACCGGCCAAAAGAAAUCUGUAACUGUAAGAUUUUCCACCCUAAGCUUUCAAGCUGCUGUGCUGUGCUGGCUUUCUAACCCUGUAUUUCUUGGAAGUGACUUGCUUGUUGUUUAAGAAGUUAAAAGUAUGUGCUACUUUAAAUCAGGUUUGGCUCUACGUUUUCAUGUGAACCCGGGUAUUGUCCUUGUCAAGUCUGGUAUCGUGGCCUAUGCAUGAUCAUUUUCUCUAUCAAUCUACAGUGGUAGGAGAAGUUAACAAGACAUGGACGACGUACCCCUCGCUUAAAAGGCAAGAGAAAAUCAUCAGGCCUAUCUAUAUCCUCCUGCCUCCAGUCCAUGGUCAGAGAUGAAUGAAUGAGGUGUAUAUUCCAGUAAUAUACAUUUUGGCCAGAAAUCGAAGUAGUUGCCGGCAUGAUGCCUGAUGGUUGAACAAGUAUUUUAGUAGUGGGAUGGUUGGUUUGGUGGCCUGUUUUUUGUUUAAUGGGAGGCGUGCGUGCCGCCUUGUACCACUACUGCUUUGCAAUUAUGGGAUUGCUGUUGCAUUCGUGGCCCUCAAAUUAGGUGCGUAUCUCCCCGUUGGCCGCCUUGUAUGAGUAGCUUUGAAGUCGAAGAAUGUACUGUAGUAUGUGUGCAUGGUCGCCAUGUUUCUUUCUAGUGGAGGGAGGUGGACGGCUAGCAAAGGCAGGCGAAAUUUCCUUUCUUAAAGGAAAUAGU
rnacentral:rRNA from 1 species